rnacentral:rRNA from 1 species
AACCAGCACCUCAAGUGGUCAGGAUGAUUAUUGGGCCUAAAGCAUCCGUAGCCGGCUCUGUAAGUUUUCGGUUAAAUCUGUACGCUCAACGUACAGGCUGCCGGGAAUACUGCAGAGCUAGGGAGUGGGAGAGGUAGACGGUACUCGGUAGGAAGGGGUAAAAUCCUUUGAUCUAUCGAUGACCACCUGUGGCGAAGGCGGUCUACCAGAACACGUCCGACGGUGAGGGAUGAAAGCUGGGGGAGCAAACCGG